CAAGGGCCAUGAAAUCCCCCCCUUCCUCCAUAUAUACAGCCCUUAGGGCACCGUUUAGACUUGGGUUUUGUUUAGAUCAAAAGUUCGCCAUAGCUGCAACUUCGCGUACUUCGUUUGUGUUCAACGACCAGACUUCAAUAAUAAAGCUUUCCUCUUAUAUUCGCAAUAUCCAGAUUGCAAUCUCAGUUUCUUGCUUGUUCUUUGUUUGCUCGCAGGAAACAGACCCUCGUGGUCAGGUUGAUCGUGCUCCGGCGUGGUCAAUAACCUCUCGGAGUUGGUUUAGCGAUUGCUAAGGCGCGACGUCCUCGCACGUUCGUAGUAGGAUCGUGAAAGUCUACUCCUCCGAAACGAUAAUCACCAUCUCAUCGAAAGACGGGACACCUUUGCCUCUAUCAAGUGGUAUCAGAGUUCCAGGUUUCUCGGUGAGAUUUUACAAUUUUUCGUAGUUUAGAUCGAGUCUGUUCUUCAUACCUAUAGUCCACGAAAAAGCCAAAAAAAUUUAGGGUUAGUUCAUCAUAUCCGAACCAGUCUAAGCCUUUGUAUAGUCUUUUCAGUAUUUUGCUUUGUUGAAUUUGCGGUUGCAUCGUCGUGUCAAGUUGCUGGUCUUAGCUUCUAGUUUCCCUUAGAGUUUCGAGUUCUAUUCACAAGUUGUCACGCCGCCACUGCACCAUCGUCAUCGCUCCUACCAUCUACCACCACCGCUUAUCCGCCACCAAUCUGUAUCCACAUACCAUCACCAAUUCGUAUCCAUAUACCAUCACCAAUCUGUAUCCAUAUACCACCACCAAUCCGUCUCCAUAUACCACCACCGCUACCAUAUACCACCACCACUGCCAUAUACCACCACCGCUGCCUUAUCGUACCACCAUAUAUCCACCACCAAUCCGAGUUCUUCUCAUAUUAGGUUUGUUUUCGAGAUCCAUCUAAAUUCCGAUUCGUGUUUCCUUGCCUGAGUAGGUUUCGGAAAAAGGGACCCCCGGGCAGUUUUUAGGCCAAAAUUUCGGCGACCAAAAAUAUUUUUUACCUAUCCUAUUUUUAGGCUUUUCUGAGUCUUUUGAGCCACGUGCCAUCAUAGUGAUUUUUUGUCGCACUUUUUCGUCGUCGCUGCCCUGAUUUCCGAAAAAAUAGUCAAAAAAGUUCGUGCCCAUCCUGUCAUUCUGACCUGGGAAGUGUUUUGAGACACUCGCCAUUAUAGUGUUUUUUCGCAAAAAAAGCGCAAAAAAAAAACAGAGCGAAAAAAAACUUCCAGAGUGCUUUUUCCUUUUUUACGUGCAGCGCCGUGAUUUUGUUAGUGUUCUAGGCUCGCGUCUCUAGCACGGUCUAGCCUAGGACCAGCACAGUACCGUCGUUGAGCGUUUAUUCAACUUUGCAUCUCUGAAUUGAUUAUUGCUGACCCUUUUUGCUACCAUAUUAUAAGCCUUCCCAGCUCCACAUACAUCUACAUCGUGCAUUUGACUCUCCCUGGUAAUUCGCUCUAUCCAAGCUUUGAGAGUUUUGACUACAUCGGUUGCCGAUCACCGCCUACUGUUGGGUAAGAACCGGUAAGAAUUUGAGAUUUGCUUGACGGAUUUGUGACACCCACCACUUGUUAGUAGUCUGUAGGAUCAUAUUCUUGUGUGUUUCUAUUGCUGCUAACCAUGCCAGGUUCACAAGCCGACGAGAUUGACCGGGAGAACUUAACGAACAAGGAGCUUCAUGAUAAGUUUCAGCAAAUGAUGACUGAACAGGUGCAAGAUGUGCUGAACAAUUUUGAAGAGGCCAUGGAGAAGAUCACUGGCCUUGAGAAGACGUUCGAAACAAAGCUCGAUAACAGAUUUAUUGAACUGCUUGCGCAUCUUCCACCACCGGCUGCACCUGCCGCACCUCUACAACAACAACAACAACGACGACUACCUCCACGUCGCGAAACAGCCCUCCGCCGAGCGAGCCGUGUCCUUCUUCAGCCUGGCCAAACUGUUGGUGCUGCUAUUGAUACUUCUGUGGCUCCUGCUGCUGAUGCGGAGGAUGAUUAUGCGGGAGAUUACGAGGAUGAGGUUGAUCAAAAUCAGAACUACGUGCAACCACCAGCACCACAACCACCAGGUCAUCCACAUGCAAAUAAUCACAAUGGUAGGGCUCUCCCUCAGGUACGAGAUCAUGACCAUCUUCCUAAACUGAAAUUGAAUAUUCCACCAUUUGAGGGUAGAUAUGUUCCUGAUAUAUAUCUUACUUGGGAGUUAGAAACCGAACAACGUUUUACAUGUUUAGAAUAUCCCGAGGAGAGACGUGUUGCUGCUGCACUUUCUGCUUUCACUAGUUUUCCUUGUGUGUGGUGGUCUGAACAUCGUAGAUCAUAUCUGAAUAAUAUUCCAACUACUCGGGCUGCUUUGAAAACUGCUAUGCAUACUCGUUGGGUUCCACCAUAUUAUCAACGUGAAUUACUUCAAAAAUUGCAGCGUUUAAGACAAGGAAAAAAUUCUGUAGAAGAAUAUUAUCAGGAAUUACAAACUAGUAUGAUUAGAUGUGGUAUUGUUGAGGAUAAUGAAGCUAUGCUUGCACGUUUUAUGGGUGGAUUAAAUAGAGAGAUUCAGACCAUUCUAGAGUAUAAGGAGUAUAAUAAUAUCACUUGUUUAUUCCAUCUUGCUUGUAAAGCUGAACGUGAAGUGCAGGAUCGACAGGCAUUGGCGCAAACUAACUUUUCUGUAGGUCGACCUUCGUCAUGGACACCACAUGCAUCCUCUACUUCCACUGCACCAUCACCUCCAUCCGGUGCCACCUCCAACCAUGAUACAAGAAAGCAGGCACAACCACCACUAUCUGCCAAGAGCACACCUGUCGGGCCUGCACAGAGGUCUUCUUCCAUGGCAUCAACAGGGCACACAAGUGAUAUUAUUUGUCAUCGUUGUAAGGGAAGAGGUCCUUAUGUGAGGGAAUGCAAACUCAGCAUGUGAUGAUUGCUACUGAGGAUGGUGGGUAUGAGUCCGCUAGUGACUAUGAUGAGGAGACUUUGGCUCUUAUUACACGUGAAGAACACGGUGGAGAUGAUUCUGAUCAUGAGACGCAAUACAUGGCUCCUGAAGACGCAGACAGGUAUGAAUGUUUAGUUGCUCAACGUGUUUUGAGUGUGCAGGUCACGCAAGCUGAGAAAAAUCAGAGGCAUAAUUUGUUCCAUACCAAGGGAGUUGUGAAGGAACGUUCUGUUCGCGUGAUCAUAGAUGGAGGGAGCAGCAAAAACUUGGCUAGCAUGGAGAUGGUGGAGAAGCUAUCUCUCACCACAAGACCACAUCCACAUCCUGACUACAUCCAAUGGUUCAACAACAAUGGCAAGGUUAAGGUAACAUGUAAUGUUAGUGUGCAUUUUAGUAUCUCUACAUAUGCUGAUUAUGUUGAUUGUGAUGUGGUACCUAUGCAACCAUGUUCCUUAUUACUUGGUAGACCAAGGCAAUUUGGUAAAAAAAUUGUACACCAUGGUAGAAACAAUCAGUAUACUCUUGUUCAUAAGGAUAAAAAUAUUACUUUGCUUCCUAUGACUCCUGAUUCCAUUUUGAAAGAUGAUAUUAAUAGAGCUAGUAAAGCAAAACAGGAGAAAAAUAAAAGUGAAAAACAGAUUGUAGCAAAAGAAUUUGAGCAACAAAUGAAACCUAAUAAUAAAGCAUCUAGUGUUGCUUCUGAAAUUAAAUUGAAAAGUGCAUGUUUACUUGCCACAAAAUCUGAUAUUGAUGAGCUAGAUUUUAGCAAAUCUGUUUGCUAUGCUUUUGUGUGCAAAGAGGCAUUAUUUUCAUUCGACGACGUGCCUUCCUCUUUGCCCCCUGCUGUCACUAACAUUUUGCAGGAGUUCGCUGACGUUUUCCCACAAGACGUGCCACCAGGAUUACCGCCUAUUCGAGGUAUUGAGCAUCAAAUUGACUUAAUUCCCGGUGCAUCGCUACCCAACCGUGGACCAUACUGUACCAAUCCAGAGGAGACGAAGGAGAUUAUGCGUCAAGUACAGGAGCAGCUCGACAAAGGUUAUAUACGCGAAUCUCUUAGUCCUUGUGCUGUUCCUAUUAUACUAGUGCCUAAAAAGGAUGGUACGUCGCGUAUGUGUGUUGAUUGUAGAGGCAUUAAUAAUAUUACUAUUCGUUAUCGUCGUCCUAUUCCUAGGCUAGAUGAUAUGCUUGAUGAAUUGAGUGGCUCUACAAUAUUCUCCAAGGUUAAUUUGUGUAGUGGAUACCAUCAAAUUCAUAUGAAAUUGGGAGAUGAAUGGAAAACAGCAUUUAAAACUAAGUUUGGUUUAUAUGAGUGGUUAGUCAUGCCUUUUGGGUUAACUAAUCCACCUAGUACUUUCAUGAGACUAAUGAACGAAGUUUUACGUGCUUUCAUUGGACGAUUUGUGGUAGUCUAUUUUGAUGAUAUACUGAUUUAUAGCAAAUCUCUGGAAGAACAUUUGGAACAUUUACAUGUUGUUUUUAUUGCUCUACGUGAUGCACGUUUGUUUGGAAACCUUGGGAGGUGCACCUUUUGUACCGACCGAGUAUCUUUUCUUGGCUAUGUUGUUACUCCACAGGGAACUGAAGUUGAUAAAGCCAAGAUUGAAGCUAUUGAGAGUUGGCCGCAGCCCAAAACGGUCACACAAGUGAGGAGUUUUCUUGGACUCGCUGGUUUCUAUAGGCGUUUUGUGAGAGAUUUUAGCACCAUUGCUGCACCUCUCAACGAGCUUACAAAGAAGGAUGUGCCUUUUGUUUGGGGUACCGCACAGGAAGAAGCCUUCAUGGUAUUGAAAGAUAAGUUGACACAUGCUCCUUUACUCCAACUUCCUGAUUUUAAUAAGAAUUUUGAGCUUGAAUGUGAUGCUAGUGGAAUUGGAUUCGGAGGUGUGUUAUUACAAGAUGGCAAACCUGUUGCAUACUUUUCUGAAAAAUUGAGCGGGCCUAGUCUGAACUAUUCUACUUAUGAUAAAGAAUUAUAUGCUCUUGUUCGGACCUUAGAAACAUGGCAACAUUAUUUAUGGCCCAAAGAAUUUGUUAUACAUUCUGGUCAUGAAUCUUUGAAACACAUUAAAAGUCAAGCAAAACUGAACCGUAGACAUGCUAAAUGGGUUGAAUUCAUUGAGACUUUCCCUUAUGUCAUUAAACACAAGAAGGGUAAAGAAAAUGUUAUUGCUGAUGCAUUGUCUCGUCAUUAUACUAUGCUUUCACAACUUGACUUUAAAAUAUUUGGUUUGGAUACCAUCAAAGAUCAAUAUGUGCAUGAUGCUGAAUUUAAAGAUGUAUUGCAGAAUUGUAAAGAAGGUAGAACAUGGAACAAGUUCAUCGUUAAUGAUGGAUUUGUGUUUCGUGCUAACAAGCUAUGCAUUCCAGCUAGUUCCGUUCAUCUUUUGUUGUUGCAGGAGGCGCAUGGAGGAGGACUAAUGGGACACUUUGGCGUGAAGAAGACGGAGGAUAUACUUGCUACACAUUUCUUUUGGCCAAAGAUGAGACGGGAUGUUGAGCGUUUUGUUGCUCGCUGCACUACAUGUCAAAAAGCUAAGUCACGACUCAAUCCUCAUGGUUUAUGUAUGCCUUUGCCUGUACCUAGUGUUCCUUAGGAGGAUAUAUCUAUGGACUUUGUUUUAGGUUUACCUCGAACGAAGAAGGGGAGGGAUAGCAUAUUUGUUGUCGUGGAUAGAUUCUCGAAAAUGGCACACUUUAUACCAUGUCAUAAAAGCGAUGAUGCUGUUAAUGUUGCGGAUUUGUUCUUUCGUGAAAUUAUUCGCUUGCAUGGUGUGCCAAAUACUAUCGUUUCAGAUCGUGAUACUAAAUUUCUUAGCCACUUUUGGAGAUGUUUAUGGGCUAAGUUGGGGACUAAACUGCUUUUUAGUACUACAUGUCACCCCCAAACUGAUGGACAAACUGAAGUAGUCAAUAAAACAUUGUCUACUAUGCUAAGGGCUGUUUUGAAGAAUAAUAAGAAAAUGUGGGAAGAAUGCUUGCCUCAUAUUGAAUUUGCUUAUAAUCAUUCGUUGCAUUCUACUACUAAGAUGUGCCCUUUUGAAAUUGUGUAUGGUUUCCUACCUCGUGCACCUAUUGAUUUGUUGCCUCUUCCAUUUUCGGAGAAGGUUAAUUUUGAUACUAAACAACAUGCUGAAUUGAUUUUAAAAAUGCAUGAGUUAACUAAGGAAAACAUUGAGCGUAUGAAUGCUAGAUAUAAACUUGGGGGAGAUAAGGGUAGAAAACAUGUUGUGUUUGCACCUAGAGAUCUUGUUUGGUUACAUAUGCGUAAGGAUAGAUUUCCCAAUUUGCGCAAAUCAAAGCUAAUGCCACGUGCUGCUGGUCCUUUUAAGGUGUUAGAGAAAAUAAAUUAUAAUGCAUAUAAACUUGAGCUACCUGCAGAUUUUGGGGUUAGUCCCACUUUUAACAUUGCAGAUUUGAAGCCUUAUUUGGGUGAGGAAGAUGAGCUUCCGUCGAGGAAGACUUCAUUUCAAGAAGGGGAGGAUGAUGAGGACAUCAAUAACAUUGUUACACCCACAACCCCUGCCGCUAUACAUACUGGACCAAUUACUAGAGCUCGCGCACGCCAAUUAAAUUAUCAGGUACUUUCGUUUCUUGGUAAUGAUUCUAAUGUUCAUGAGAAUAGGAUGCUGCCUAAAUUGGAUACAUUUGUUUUGCUUACAAAUGAAGGGCCUAUCUUGGAGAAGGAUGGACAUUGGAGCAAGAACAAGCAUGGAGUUGAUGGCAUGUGCAAGGGGAACAAGAUCGGAGUUACUGGUGAUGAUUUUAGGACUUUGAAGCCACCAUAAGGAGUGCAUGAAGCCUUGGACGAAAUAUACAAGAUGCCACUUCAUAAAUUUCGUCCAGAGGCUAUUCUAGGUGCUGCGUCACCUUAUUAUUGGGGCAGGCCCAUGUAAUUUCGAAAUACGUAAGUAUAGUCUGUUUUUAGAGUCCAUAUGUGUGGGGAAACAAGAGAUAGGGUUGGUUUCGGACCCCUUCCCCAAGGGCCACGAAAUCCCCCCCUCUUCCUCCAUAUAUACAGCCCUUAGGGCACCGUUUAGACUUUGGGUUUUGUUUAGAUCAAAAGAUCGCCAUAGCUGCAACUUCGCGUACUUCGUUUGUGUUCAACGACCAGACAAAGGCGUCACAGAACCCCACCUUCAUUAAUAAAGCUUUCCUCUUAUAUUCGCAAUAUCCAGAUUGCGAUCUCAGUUUCUUGCUUGUUCUUCG
rnacentral:lncRNA from 1 species